rnacentral:misc_RNA from 1 species
UGCCAAACCAAUACCAGCGUGA